AAGUGGUCCACAUGACCAUUGGGAAGAAUGACACUCACUCCCAAAACAUUGCUGUGGCACUCCUGUAUAGAAUGAGCCAGUUGACCAGCUCUAAAUAACAGCACAGGUUUGAUGAGGAGGCUUCUGUUUACCCUCUACAACCCAUCUACCCCCCAGCUCCUCCCCUCUCACCCCUUGCCCUCCGUCUCUCUCCAAGAACACCGGAGAGAGAACGACCACAGACACAUGGACUGCCACUGCUGAGCAGUGUCAGGGAGAAGCUGCAUGAGCCUGAAGACACAAACUCAACAUUUAGGAACAGGUUCUUCUCUUCUUCCCCAAACUUCUGAAAGGUCCAUGAACCCGUAAACAUUAGCU